AGGGCAUGCGGUGGCUACACAUGCAAGCCGAGCGGUAGAGAUCUUUCGGGAUCUUGAGAGCGGCGUACGGGUGCGGAACACGUGUGCAACCUGCCUUUAUCUGGGGGAUAGCCUUUCGAAAGGAAGAUUAAUACCCCAUAAUAUAAGAAACGGCAUCGUUUUUUAUUGAAAACUCCGGUGGAUAGAGAUGGGCACGCGCAAGAUUAGAUAGUUGGUGAGGUAACGGCUCACCAAGUCUACGAUCUUUAGGGGGCCUGAGAGGGUGAUCCCCCACACUGGUACUGAGACACGGACCAGACUCCUACGGGAGGCAGCAGUGAGGAAUAUUGGACAAUGGGUGAGAGCCUGAUCCAGCCAUCCCGCGUGAAGGACGACGGCCCUAUGGGUUGUAAACUUCUUUUGUAUAGGGAUAAACCUACCCUCGUGAGGGUAGCUGAAGGUACUAUACGAAUAAGCACCGGCUAACUCCGUGCCAGCAGCCGCGGUAAUACGGAGGGUGCAAGCGUUAUCCGGAUUUAUUGGGUUUAAAGGGUCCGUAGGCGGAUCUGUAAGUCAGUGGUGAAAUCUCACAGCUUAACUGUGAAACUGCCAUUGAUACUGCAGGUCUUGAGUGUUAUUGAAGUAGCUGGAAUAAGUAGUGUAGCGGUGAAAUGCAUAGAUAUUACUUAGAACACCAAUUGCGAAGGCAGGUUACUAAGCAACAACUGACGCUGAUGGACGAAAGCGUGGGGAGCGAACAGGAUUAGAUACCCUGGUAGUCCACGCCGUACACGAUGCUAACUCGUUUUUGGGCUUUCGGGAUUCAGAGACUAAGCGAAAGUGAUAAGUUAGCCACCUGGGAGUACGUUCGCAAGAAUGAAACUCAAAGGAAUUGACGGGGGCCCGCACAAGCGGUGGAUUAUGUGGUUUAAUUCGAUGAUACGCGAGGAACCUUACCAAGGCUUAAAUGGGAAAUGACAAGGUUUAGAAAUAGACUUUUCUUCGGCACAUUUUUCAACGGUGCUGCAUGAUUGUCGUCAGCUCGUGCCGUGACGUGUUAGGUUAAGUCCAUGCAACGAGCGCAACUCCUGUCACUAGUUGCAUCAUUAAGUUGGGGACUUCUAGCUGAGACUGCCUACGCAGUAGAAGAGGAGGUGGGCAUGACGUCAAUUCAUCACGGGUCCUACGCUUGGUCACACACACGUAAAUACAAUGCGGUACAGAGGGACAGCUACCAAGCGAUUUUGUAUUUGCCAAAAUCUCUCGAAAAAGGCCCGGACC
rnacentral:rRNA from 1 species